rnacentral:rRNA from 1 species
AUUGAACGCUGGCGGCAGGCUUAACACAUGCAAGUCGAGCGGGGGAAGGUAGCUUGCUACUGGACCUAGCGGCGGACGGGUGAGUAAUGCUUAGGAAUCUGCCUAUUAGUGGGGGACAACAUCUCGAAAGGGAUGCUAAUACCGCAUACGUCCUACGGGAGAAAGCAGGGGAUCUUCGGACCUUGCGCUAAUAGAUGAGCCUAAGUCGGAUUAGCUAGUUGGUGGGGUAAAGGCCUACCAAGGCGACGAUCUGUAGCGGGUCUGAGAGGAUGGUCCGCCACACUGGGACGCAGACACGGCCCAGACUCCUACGGGGGGCAGCAGUGGGGAAUAUUGGACAAUGGGGGGAACCCUGAGCCAGCCAUGCCGCGUGUGUGAAGAAGGCCUUAUGGUUGUAAAGCACUUUAAGCGAGGAGGAGGCUACUCUAGUUAAUACCUAGGGAUAGUGGACGUUACUCGCAGAAUAAGCACCGGCUAACUCUGUGCCAGCCGCCGCGGUAA